rnacentral:rRNA from 1 species
CCUACGUGGAGCUGCAGUGGGGAAUAUUGGACAAUGGGCGAAAGCCUGAUCCAGCCAUGCCGCGUGUGUGAAGAAGGCCUUCGGGUUGUAAAGCACUUUCAGUGGGGAAGAAAGCCUUGGGGCUAAUACCCUCGAGGAAGGACAUCACCCACAGAAGAAGCACCGGCUAACUCCGUGCCAGCAGCCGCGGUAAUACGGAGGGUGCGAGCGUUAAUGGGAAUUACUGGGCGUAAAGCGCGCGUAGGCGGUCUGAUAAGCCGGUUGUGAAAGCCCCGGGCUCAACCUGGGAACGGCAUCCGGAACUGUCAGGCUAGAGUGCAGGAGAGGAAGGUAGAAUUCCCGGUGUAGCGGUGAAAUGCGUAGAGAUCGGGAGGAAUACCAGUGGCGAAGGCGGCCUUCUGGACUGACACUGACGCUGAGGUGCGAAAGCGUGGGUAGCAAACAGGAUUAGAUACCCCGGUAGUC